rnacentral:rRNA from 1 species
GACGAACGCUGGCGGCGUGCUUAACACAUGCAAGUCGAACGGAAAGGCCCUGCUUGCCGGGUACUCGAGUGGCGAACGGGUGAGUAACACGUGGGUGAUCUGCCCUGCACUUCGGGAUAAGCCUGGGAAACUGGGUCUAAUACCGGAUAGGAGCCAUUUUUAGUGUGAUGGUUGGAAAGUUUUUUCGGUGUAGGAUGAGCUCGCGGCCUAUCAGCUUGUUGGUGGGGUAAUGGCCUACCAAGGCGGCGACGGGUAGCCGGCCUGAGAGGGUGGACGGCCACAAUGGGACUGAGGUACGGCCCAGACUCCUACGGGGGGCAGCAGGGGGGAAUAUUGCACAAUGGGCGCAAGCCUGAUGCAGCGACGCCGCGUGGGGGAUGACGGCCUUCGGGUUGUAAAAUCCUUUCGCUAGGGACGAAGCUUUUUGUGACGGUACCUAGAUAAGAAGCACCGGCUAACUACGUG